rnacentral:rRNA from 1 species
CCUACGGGAGGCAGCAGUAGGGAAUAUUGCUCAAUGGGGGAAACCCUGAAGCAGCAACGCCGCGUGGAGGAUGAAGGUUUUCGGAUUGUAAACUCCUUUUGUUAGAGAAGAUAAUGACGGUAUCUAACGAAUAAGCACCGGCUAACUCCGUGCCAGCAGCCGCGGUAAUACGGAGGGUGCAAGCGUUACUUGGAAUCACUGGGCGUAAAGAGCGCGUAGGCGGGAUAGCAAGUCAGAUGUGAAAACCUAUGGCUUAACCAUAGAACUGCAUUUGAAACUGUUAUUCUAGAGUAUGGGAGAGGUAGGUGGAAUUCUUGGUGUAGGGGUAAAAUGCGUAGAGAUCAAGAGGAAUACUCAUUGCGAAGGCGACCUGCUAGAACAUAACUGACGCUGAUGCGCGAAAGCGUGGGGAGCAAACAGGAUUAGAUACCCUUGUAGUC